rnacentral:rRNA from 1 species
GACGAACCACACAAACGUUAUUCGGAAUUACUGGGCUUAAAGGGUGCGUAGGCGGCGCGGAAAGUUGGGUGUGAAAUUCCUCGGCUCAACCGGGGAACUGCGCCCAAAACUACCGUGCUCGAGGGAGAUAGAGGUGAGCGGAACUUAGGGUGGAGCGGUGAAAUGCGUUGAUAUCCUAAGGAACACCCGUGGCGAAAGCGGCUCACUGGGUCUUCUCUGACGCUGAGGCACGAAAGCUAGGGUAGCGAACGGG